AAAUUGAAGAGUUUGAUCAUGGCUCAGAUUGAACGCUGGCGGCAGGCCUAACACAUGCAAGUCGAACGGUAACAGGAAGCAGCUUGCUGCUUCGCUGACGAGUGGCGGACGGGUGAGUAAUGUCUGGGAAACUGCCUGAUGGAGGGGGAUAACUACUGGAAACGGUAGCUAAUACCGCAUAAUGUCGCAAGACCAAAGAGGGGGACCUUCGGGCCUCUUGCCAUCGGAUGUGCCCAGAUGGGAUUAGCUUGUUGGUGGGGUAACGGCUCACCAAGGCGACGAUCCCUAGCUGGUCUGAGAGGAUGACCAGCCACACUGGAACUGAGACACGGUCCAG
rnacentral:rRNA from 1 species